UACAGAGGGUGCAAGCGUUGUUCGGAAUUACUGGGCGUAAAGGGCGCGUAGGCGGUGCGGUAAGUCUGUAGUGAAAUCUCUGGGCUCAACUCAGAGUCUGCUAUAGAAACUGCCGUGCUUGAGUGUGGGAGAGGUGAGUGGAAUUUCCGGUGUAGCGGUGAAAUGCGUAGAUAUCGGAAGGAACACCUGUGGCGAAAGCGGCUCACUGGACCAUUACUGACACUGAGGUACGAAAGCUAGGGGAGCAAACAGG
rnacentral:rRNA from 1 species